rnacentral:rRNA from 1 species
UAGGGAAUCUUCCGCAAUGGACGCAAGUCUGACGGAGCAACGCCGCGUGAGUGAUGAAGGUUUUCGGAUCGUAAAGCUCUGUUGCCCUAGACGAACAGCAUCAGGAGUAACUGCCUGGUGUGUGACGGUAUAGGAGAAGAAAGCCCCGGCUAACUACGUGCCAGCAGCCGCGGUAAUACGUAGGGGGCAAGCGUUGUCCGGAAUUAUUGGGCGUAAAGCGCGCGCAGGCGGUUAAUUAAGUUGGGUGUUUAAGCCCGGGGCUCAACCCCGGUUCGCAUCCAAAACUGGUUGACUUGAGUGUAGGAGAGGAAAGUGGAAUUCCACGUGUAGCGGUGAAAUGCGUAGAGUUGUGGAGGAACACCAGUGGCGAAGGCGACUUUCUGGCCUAUAACUGACGCUGAGGCGCGAAAGCGUGGGGGGCGAAACAGGAUUAGAUACCCUGGUAGUCCACGCCGUAAACGAUGCAUACUAGGUGUUGGGGAUUCGGAUACCUCGGUGCCG